GUUAAAGUCUGCGGCAAAGCUUCAUCCGAAACUCCAGCGGCGGUGUUUUGAAAACACGCCAUGGUGACCUUAUCUUUCCAUGAAGACACGUCAGCCUUGUUAUGCCAUAAGUCUGAAACACCAUCCACAGCGACAAAAACGUGAUCAUGGUCGAGCGAAAACUACAGUGAACAUCGGCAGGGCAUUUGAUUCCUGGAGGGACCUUCAAUUCAACCGACCCUGAAUUGGCAUUCUUCUUAUUGGACAGUGAGACCUGGAGGGAGAUAAAGGAGCAGCCAGAGCUGCAGUGGGGAAAGAGAGAGGAGCCAGAGUCCCGAGACGACGCUAGUGUUUUGUGUUGGUGUGUGCGCCUGGAAAGUGACCUAUAAUAAAUGAUGCUAAAGAGUGUUAGCUUGUUCUCGCUCCUAAUAAACAUGCAAAAAAUAAAAAUAAAUUUUUUUUUUCCUAAAAAUGUAUGUCCUCAUAUGUGGACAGUGAGACAAAGUUGUGAAAAUAUAAAUUAAUUCCAAGCAAUAAAAAGUCAAAUAUUUUUUUUCCAAAUUGUUUACUGUUUCCAGGAGUGUUGGUUGUUCAUGUUUUUGAGAUAUUACAUCAGAAACAAGCAUAAUUAAUUCUCAUUCAAAGCAUCGUCCCAUCACUGCCAACCAUGUUAAAAUAAAAUUUUGCAUGAAAAACUCUGAAACUAUGUACUGAUUACCAUUGUCCCAUGUCUGCUAAACAUGUUGAGUGGCCCAAACAUCA